rnacentral:rRNA from 1 species
AUACGUAGGAGGCGAGCGUUGUCCGGAUUUACUGGGCGUAAAGGGCGUGUAGGCGGUACGGAAAGUCUUUGUUGAAAUCUCCCGGCUCAACUGGGAGGGAUGCAGAGAUACUUUCGAACUAGAGGUCAGUAGAGGAGAGUGGAAUUCCCGGUGUAGUGGUGAAAUGCGUAGAUAUCGGGAGGAACACCAGUGGCGAAAGCGGCUCUCUGGGCUGUACCUGACGCUGAGGCGCGAAAGCGUGGGGAGCAAACCGGAUUAGAAACCCCAGUAGUCC